rnacentral:pre_miRNA from 1 species
GUAGUCGGAUUCACAUCAAUCCACAUGUGUUGGGGUGGGUGGAGUGGAACUUGAACUAAAUUCUAUUCCAAUCCACUCCAACACAUAUUGAUUGAGGUAAAUCUGAAA